ensembl:lncRNA
AGAAAAUGCAAAUAGAUGACAUAAUUUAGAAGGCAUUUUUAAUCAAAUUAUUCUGUAGAAGCAUUUAUAGAGUGAUGUCUUACCUUGGACUCACCACAGUAGUAUCCAAUUACUGAAAUUAUCAGUGUUAGUUUACCCUUAAAUAUCCUUUUCUCAAGAUAAGUAGAUCACAAUGACGACAAUUAUUAUCCUGGAAUACUAUGUCCUCUUGCACAACUCCUACACACACUUUGCUGGAACUGGUAUGAAUUACUCUUGGGCUAUCUUCAAGGAGCAAACCUUGUCAACCCUGCUUAGAUUUGUGACAACUCACAGCAACAGGCUGUAAUAAAUUUCUGAGCACUUCCUCUUCUAAGGCCUCUACCAAGUUACAAAAUCACACAGUCCUUCUGCAACAUAAUUGACACUGACAGCAAUUAAAUCUGAGAAGUUCUUCCCGUAAUCUUUCAUUCCAGAAAGGGCAGUGACCUUGCUGAAAGGUGGUCAAUUACUGUCAGAGUAGGAGCCAUCCCUUCUGGUCACUCCUCUGCUGCAGUCUGUCAGUCCUUCAGUGGCUCAGUUCCCAAGUUUGAGUUAUUAAUUUCUUGCCUUGCAUGUGAAAGAUAAUUUCUCCAAGUGACAUACUAUGUUCAGCUACUACAGUGAUAAGCACCAAAGGUACACAAGAUGAAGAAAAAAUGUGAAUAGUAAAGCAUAGCAGCUGUUGCCAGGCUAUGUCUCUAAGUCCAGUUUUUGUUGCUACUUCAGGGAAGCAUUACAGAAGGUCCUGUUACGCAACACAGAGCCUUAGGAUAUGUAAAGCAGAUGUAAAACCUGGCACCAAGUAAAGCACAAAUAUGACCCUGUCCCAAAUUGAUUAUUAAACACCACACUAAUUUUCCCUAUAGCUCUGAAGUCUGAAUCAAUCCAAAUCCUGAUCUCACUUACCCUCAUGUGACUCUACUGAUUUUAGCACAAUUUUACACCAGUGAGGGCAGGAAAAGGUCAUAAACAUAGCCCUAGGUGACUUGAUACAGUAUAAUCUGUGCUUAAGUGCAUAAAUGAAAAAUUUCAUAUUUGUUAAGUGAUCUUCACUCCUUUGUAAAAGGACAGGAAUUUUUUGUAUUUAUGAUGUCUCCAAAGCAGGUUAUUCUUUACACUGAUGUCCAGAAAUGACUUUAGUUUGCAGUGAUUAUGACUUAUACAUCUAAAUCUUUUUAGUGAAAGAGAGGGUUCUUUGAAGUUCACAAGCAUAAGGAGCUAAAUGGUAACUCAUGCUACAACAUAAAGAUCCUGUAUUUGGAACAACCCCUGCGAUAUGGUUUCAUCUUAUUGUGCAGUCUUCUGCUUCAUACCUAAUCUGAAGCAACAAAAAUGUAAGGAUGAGCUCUGACAUCUUUCUACUUUAUAAUUAUUUUUUGUCAAAUUACUUGUGAUUGUGUUGAUUAAAGUUUUCCUUCAGUUUUGCCUUUGGCUGAAACACAUUUCUCAUUUAUAGAACUUGACUUUAUUCUGUCAUUUCAUCGUGUCAUUAAGCAUAUAUUUAAUGUUUGUUUAUAAGAGUGAAAGUGAAUUCUGUUACAUCCACGGAGCUAUUAAAAACUGCAUUCUCUC